GCAGCCUGAUCCAGCCAUGCCGCGUGGGUGAAGAAGGCCUUCGGGUUGUAAAGCCCUUUUGUUGGGAAAGAAAAGCAGUCGGUUAAUACCCGAUUGUUCUGACGGUACCCAAAGAAUAAGCACCGGCUAACUUCGUGCCAGCAGCCGCGGUAAUACGAAGGGUGCAAGCGUUACUCGGAAUUACUGGGCGUAAAGCGUGCGUAGGUGGUUGUUUAAGUCCGUUGUGAAAGCCCUGGGCUCAACCUGGGAAUUGCAGUGGAUACUGGGCAACUAGAGUGUGGUAGAGGAUGGCGGAAUUCCCGGUGUAGCAGUGAAAUGCGUAGAGAUCGGGAGGAACAUCUGUGGCGAAGGCGGCCAUCUGGACCAACACUGACACUGAGGCACGAAAGCGUGGGGAGCAAACAGGAUUAGAUACCCUGGUAGUCCACGCCCUAAACGAUGCGAACUGGAUGUUGGGUGCAACUUGGCACGCAGUAUCGAAGCUAACGCGUUAAGUUCGCCGCCUGGGGAGUACGGUCGCAAGACUGAAACUCAAAGGAAUUGACGGGGGCCCGCACAAGCGGUGGAGUAUGUGGUUUAAUUCGAUGCAACGCGAAGAACCUUACCUGGUCUUGACAUCCACGGAACUUUCCAGAG
rnacentral:rRNA from 1 species